UACAGAGGGGGCAAGCGUUGUUCGGAAUUACUGGGCGUAAAGGGCGCGUAGGCGGCCCGUUAAGUCGAACGUGAAAUCCCCAGGCUCAACCUGGGAACUGCGUCUGAUACUGGAUGGCUUGAAUCCGGGAGAGGGAUGCAGAAUUCCAGGUGUAGCGGUGAAAUGCGUAGAUAUCUGGAGGAAUACCGGUGGCGAAGGCGGCAUCCUGGACCGGCAUUGACGCUGAGGAGCGAAAGCCAGGGGAGCAAACGGG
rnacentral:rRNA from 1 species